rnacentral:rRNA from 1 species
GACGAACGCUGGCGGCGUGCUUAACACAUGCAAGUCGAACGAGUGGCGAACGGGUGAGGAACGCGACGUUGCUCUCCCUUUCGCUUCGGGAUAGGCUUGGGCAACUGAUUCUAAUACCGGAGAGUGCAAGAUGAGCUCGCGGCCUAUCUGCUUGUUGGUGGGGUAGUGGCUACCAAGGCGCGACGGGUAGCCGGCCUGAGAGGGUGUACGGCCACAUUGGGACUGAGAUACGGCCCAGACUCCUACGGGAGGCAGCAGUGGGGAAUAUUGCACAAUGGGGGGAAGCCUGAUGCAGCGACGCCGCGUGGGGGAUGAAGGCCUUCGGGUUGUAAACCGCUUUCGGCAGUGACGCGGUAGCUGUAGAAGAAGCACCGGCUAACUACGUGCCAGCAGCCGCGGUAAUUC